AACGAACGCUGGCGGCAUGCCUAACACAUGCAAGUCGAACGAUGCCUUCGGGCAUAGUGGCGCACGGGUGCGUAACGCGUGGGAAUCUGCCUUUCGGUUCGGAAUAACUCAGGAAAACUUGAGCUAAUACCGGAUAACGUCGCAAGACCAAAGAUUUAUCACCGAAAGAUGAGCCCGCGUAGGAUUAGCUAGUUGGUGAGGUAAAGGCUCACCAAGGCGACGAUCCUUAGCUGGUCUGAGAGGAUGAUCAGCCACACUGGGACUGAGACACGGCCCAGACUCCUACGGGAGGCAGCAGUGGGGAAUAUUGGACAAUGGGCGAAAGCCUGAUCCAGCAAUGCCGCGUGAGUGAUGAAGGCCUUAGGGUUGUAAAGCUCUUUUACCCGGGAAGAUAAUGACGGUACCGGGAGAAUAAGCCCCGGCUAACUCCGUG
rnacentral:rRNA from 1 species